AGGACGAACGCUGGCGGCGUGCCUAACACAUGCAAGUCGAACGAGGUCCAACCGGUGGCAACACUGGUGAAGACCUAGUGGCGAACGGGUGAGUAUCACGUGAGCAACCUGCCCCGAAGACUGGGAUAACACCGGGAAACCGGUGCUAAUACCGGAUACCCCCACCGGAUCGCAUGGUCUGGUGAGGAAAUGAAUUUUGCUUUGGGAGGGACUCGCGGCCUAUCAGCUUGUUGGUGGUGUAACGGACCACCAAGGCUUCGACGGGUAGC
rnacentral:rRNA from 1 species